UUGCAAGAGAAAUCUAUCACUCACUGAUUAAUUUACCUGAACAAAAAAUUGAACUGUCAAUGAUGGAAAUACAUGUACAAAUAAGUAAUUAUGAAACUGCAUGUGAUGUUGUAUUUAUUAAAUCAAUUACACAUUUUCAAUUUGUUUGAUAUAAACACUGAUUUAAAAAUUAAAAGUUGAUUUCUGAUCAAAUUUCAACAUUUUACCUAUUAAAAUUUGCUUUUUUUUAGUCUGUUCAUAAGUAAAAACUUGAAAUGAUAAUGUUUAAAUAAAGGUCUUCAUAAAUGUAUUCUUUAUAACUGAACAACCACAAAAAACAUGCAAAUUUUUUAAAACAUAAAUGCAUGCAGUAGUUAAAA
rnacentral:lncRNA from 1 species